rnacentral:lncRNA from 1 species
GCCCUCCCCGCUCAGGCUGCGUGGAAAAGCGCUACCGCUUUCAGGCAGUAGCGCGGGGAACGGGCGAGAUGCCAGAAGCCACGCUGCGGCCGCCAGAGAGGCCACAGGGGACGGCUCAGCCCGGCUGCCUGUAUCGCUUGGGGGUACCCGCGCAGCGUCCCCUGGCCGUCCCGAGAGGCUCCACCGCCGUUGGAGCGGCGCGAAUCGCCUUGCCCUCGCCGGGGCCGGAAGCGGAGCCGCGCCGGCGCGGGGACAGCCCACCGCCGCGGGGAGGGGUGCAGCCACCGCCCCCCGCCCGAUCCGGCGCCCCCAGAGGCGGGCGGCCAUCGCCCGCCAGCCCGCAGCUUGUCGCGCAGGUCUAGUCCGCCGCCAUGCCGGGGCCUGUACCUGCGCUGGAAGUCCCGCUCGAAGGGGGCCAGGUAGGGGUCCCGCUCUAGCAGCUCCGGUAGCUUAGGCGCCUGCGGGCCUUGCGUGCCAGAGGCGGCCAUCUUGCCACCACGGCUCGGUAGCGCCGGGCACGGCCGCUAUAUACCUCCAGGCGGGGGAGGGGGGGGUCUCGGCGCGGGGCGGGCGGGCGGGCAAGGAGCCCACUGCCUCUCACCGCCCGGCGCCGCCCACCGGCGGGGGCAGCCCCGGGACCGAGAGCCGCCCGCCUCCGCCGCCACUCCCCGCCCGCCGUGUGCCUCGCGGCCUUGGGCGGGGUGGGAGGCCGGGGCUGCGGGUGGUCCUGGCCGCGACGCUCGGGCUCCCUGGAAGGGGCACGGGGUGCGAGCGCUGCGAUAAAUUCCUCCGCCGCUCGGCGGGGCGCUGGGCAGCUCGCAGUCGAGCGCAGCGACGCGACUCUGAUGGCAUCCGUGAGCUCUCAUAAAACGCUGCGUGUGUCUGGCAGAAUGCUGCUUCGCGGGGGCCAGAGGAGACCUGAACAAAGUAGAGUGAGUUCAGUGGAUCCUAAAGCAGCUGUAAAUGCUGAAUAGCACAGAUAGAUUAUGAGGGACAGGGUAUCAAUCAGUGUGUUUCAUUUUUGGAUAGGCCUCCAGGUAUCCAGGGUAACUCUUUACCAGCCUGAUCGUGGCUGUUGUCCAGCACUUUUUUUAAGAUACAUACUGACAAUGUGUAUUUACAGGCCUCUUUUUGGAUACAUUUUAGCCACAGGUUAUAAACUUUCCAGCACUAGGGUACUUGGCAUUGCUUCCACAACCAUCUCCCAAGAUUUCUGUCCGUGGUUUGUAACUCAUCUCCCCUGCCUUGGCUUACUGUGGAUUUAGAGUGCCUUCCUAUUCUGCUGUCAGGUGACAGCCUGUAACAAACUACAGCAGUUCAUUUAUAGCUUCUCCAAAAAUUGGCUGCAGUGACAGUUUUCAAAAUUAUUUGUUUCAUCAAAUGGUAUGCAUUUAACUACGCUGUAUUUCUUUCCUUGCAGCAGUUUAUAACUACACACAAAAAAAUCCAAGUACUUUUGUCUUACAGAGAACUAAAAUUGUUCUCUGUCCUAAGAAUCAGUGGCUCAGUAUCUGGAUGGAGAUCAGUAGUAAGCGGUGUCCCUCAGGGAUCAGAACUGGGAUGAGUGCUGUUUAAUAUCUUCAUCCAUUACAUGAACAGUAGGAUCAAGUGCACCCUCAGCAAGAUUGUGGAAGAUGCCAAGCUGUGUGGUACAGUCAGCACAUCUGAGGGAUAGAAUGCCAUCCAGAGGGACCUAGACAGCUGUAAGCAGUGGACCCAGGUCAACCUCAUGAGGUUCGAUGAAGCCAUGUGCAAGGUCUUGCACCUGGGUCAAGGCAACCUCCUCUAUCAGUACAAGAUGGCAGUGAAGGAAUGGAGGACAGCCCUGCAGAAAAGGACUUGGGGGUACUGAUGGAUGGGAAGCUGGACAUGAGCCAGCACUGGGCCCUCACAGCCCAGAAAGCCAACUGUAUCCUGAGGUGCAUCAAAAGAAGUGUGAUCAGCUGGUCAAGGGAGGUGAUCCUGCCCCCUCUACUCUACACUGCUGAGAUCUUACCUGGAAUAGCAUGUCCAGGUGUGGACACGCUCCUCAGUACAAGAGAGAUGUGGACCUGUUGGAGGGUCCAGAGAAGGGCCACAGAAAUGAUCCAAAGAAUGGAACACCUCCCCGUGAGGACAAGCUGAGAGAGCUGGGGCUGUUCAGCCUGGAGAAGAGAUGCCUCUGGGGAGACCUGAGAACAGCCUUUCAGUAUCUAAAGGGGGGCUGUGAGAAGUAAGGGGACAGACCCUUUAGCAGUGCCUUAGCAGGGUCUGUUGUGAUAGGACAAGUGGAAAUUAUUUCAAACUAAAAGAGGGGAGACUUAGACUGGAUAUAAGAAAGAAGGUUUUUUACAAUAAGGCACUGAAACUGGUUGCACAAAGAGGUAGUGGCAGCCCUGUCUCUGGGGACAUGCAGGGUUUAGACUGGACAGAGCUCUGAGCAACCUGAUCUAGUCGGUGUCCCUGUUCACUACAGGGAGUUGGACUAGAUAACCUUUAAAGGCCCCUUAAACGAUUCUAGGAUUCUGAGAAAUUGUUACAUAACUUGCCUCGGUGUCUACCAUUUCUUCAGUCUCAGUCAGGACUGAAAACCUGUUAUAUGCCUCAGAACUGUCUGUGUAGCAGUGAUUCCCUUGUCUGUGUUAAACUGAAGUUUAAUAACUCUAUCUUAUUUCUGACAUCAUGCUAUGCACAUUAUGUUUUCUUUUGCAAACUGUCUCUGACAUUCCCAUAGUUAUCUGGUUGGGCAAGCAAAGAGGGGAGCAAAUCCAGCUGUUAAUCAAGAGCCAGGAACUUGUUUUUCACAAUAGCUAGCGUUUUACCUGUACUGCUGUUUGAGGCUUCCAGCUGUAAUGGAGAGGUUGCCUGCUGCUCACGAGGAAGGAGGGGGGAAAUCCCUGCAGUCUUUGAAUAUACUACCAUAGGAAACAGGAGCUUCAUUUUAAGCACAGUCUGUUUGGUUUUCUUAAUUAUCAGAAAGCUCAACAGGUUCAGAGUGCCAUUAUUAGCUAUUUGGCAUAGACACAAGAGAGAGAUUUAUAAAUUGGCAUUAGCAAUUCAUGUAAACAGUAGGAAUAUUGCUGUGACUUCGAGCUCCCUGGAGACAGAGACCCUUUCUUAACCUUUGUUUGUGAGAUUGUAAGCAGAAAUAACACAGUACCCAGACUCGCAUCCAAGCAUCCUUGAAUGUCAGGAAGUUAAAUUCUUCAAGUAGCCCCAAGUGCUAUAUUUAAUACCUUGUGAAUUGGGAAAUUGAUAACCAUUCUAUUUGUAUCCAUUCAUGUUCAAGUUUACAACUGAGGUGUGAUUUUAUCUGCCUGCUCAAAGACACAAAGGCAUAUAUUACUGUGAUCUAUUCCAGUGUGAUCUGGCUGAGACUCUAAGGCUGAAUUUGGCUCUGAGGACAUUGCCAUUUAGUCUUCUACCUAGAGGCAAAAAAAGGGCACUCGAAACAAUAAAUGUUGUUGCAGUAGAUGAAUGCUUCUUUGUGUAUUUGUCUGACAUCCACCCAAAGAUAGCAGCUGCCAGUAGAGAUAGGAAGAAGGGGUGGAUGGUAAUAACUGCUCUUUUGGGGGACAGUAAUGGAUCUUAAAGGACUGGCAUCUGAGGCAUGUGUCUGGCACCCAGCUACCACCAAGAACAGAGUAUAUCAAACCACUCUAAAUUUGUCUUUCAAAGGAUGUUUAUUAUUAAGUUGUGUAUACUUUAAAAUGUUGCAUAGCAGUGCUAUGCAAUAACUAGUUACAAUUCUUAUAAUAGUUUCUGUACGAAGUUCAAAAAGAAAUCCAAGUUUUGUAUUGAAGAACAUUCAAGAACUGACUACUCACGUAAUGCACUACAGCAAUUUUCAUUUUCUCAUAUAUUGCUCUUACUUGCAAAAGUAGACAGAGAUGCUAAACUGUAGGAACAGGGUUCUUUCUCUGAAGCACUGGUUCAAAUUCUUCCCACCAUCCUGGCUCUCAGAUUGGCCAGAGACCACCUCAUGGUGUUAGCUGGAGCCUGCAGGGAGACAGACAGGACAGUUGUCAAGGGUACUGUGUAACUAGUUUUCCUUCCACUAUAGGCAUAAAAGGGGCAUUGCAAACAUACAGUACAUUUCUUAAAUAUCACUAAUCUACAUAGUCUUUACAGGUAGGUCAGACAUUGGCAGUUGAGAUUAUACAAGUUUUUUAUUCCUGUCUUUGAGCUUUCCAAGGCUCUGCUGAGAUGCAGAAGGAGGAAAAAUGGGCAGUGUUGCACAGUUGCUGAAUCUCAGCAGCAUGUCAGUUCUUUAAUUAAAACAUUAAAAAGUUUUGCAGUUUUUGUAAGGAUUCAACUAUUAAUUAAUUACUUAGGAAAAAUAAAGGAUAUAACAUUGAAAAUUACAGCAAACAUUCCAAGAAUCCAUUAGUCUAUCCCUUAAUUAGUUUAUGGUUUGGGGGGUUUGUUUUUGUUGGCUUUUUCUCUGUCAGUUUGUUUUAGGAAAUUUAUUAUUCAUUGAGAUUGUCUUUUUAGGUCUUACCAUUGCCCUCGUAUGGUAACAGGAUCUUUAAAUAGAAACACAUCUUUAAAGAUCAAAAGUAAUCUGAAAUCUAAACUACUAAAAAGCCACUUUCAGAGUUGUCAAAUUCCACUAAAUGCUUUUGAUAGGAAUGCUAUUUGCACUUAGCAUACAGAACCAAAAUCACACUGUAGCAGCAUGAAAGCACUAGAUAAUGGCUGCUUUUUGCUUUCAUGUUACUGAAGUAUUACUAUGAUCUGGUGUCCCCAUGGAACACCUCCCUUGUAAGGACAGACUGAAAAAGCUGGGACUGUUCAGCCUGGAGAAGAGAAGCCUCUGGGGAGACUUGAUAGCAGCCUUUCAGUGUCUGAAGGGGGGCUGUAAGAAAGAAAAGGACAGACUCUUUAGCAAGGUCUGUGGUGACAGGACAAGGGAAAAUGGUUUAAAACUAAAAGAGUGGAGAUUUAAAUUGGACAUAAGGAAUUUUUUUGCAAUAAGGGUGGUGAGGCUCUGGAACAGGUUACUCAAAGAUGUGGUGGAGUCCCCAUCUUAGGAGACAUUCAAGGACCUAUAAAGGUCCUUUCCAACUUAAAAGAUUUUAUGAUUCAUUACUACUUAGUAAGAAUAUUUUACUUCAUGUUAUUACAUCACUUCAAUAAUACUCCAUAUCUUUUUGUUUGUUUUGCUUUGGUUUAAUCUCUUCUUUGUAACAAACAGAUAAAUAUUUAUAAUUUUGAGUUUUCUGAGUUAAUGUUAUCCUACUUCAGCUGGAAUUAUGGAUUAAUGUUUCUCAGUUUCCAAUGCCCUUCGUUUUUUGGUGUCUCUUUGAGUUUUUUGUUAAUCUCUCAAAAUUCUCCCUGGAUGUUGGAUUCAGUCUCCUAAUUCCACUGAAGAAACAUUUGAUAUCUGAUUUUAGUUUAACUAACCACUCUGUGCAGAUAUUUCUCCCAUUCUGCAUGAUCAGCUUCUACAGCAGGGCUCUCAUAUAAGUUCUGGUUUCCACUGCUUUCAUAUUUCAACUUCUUUGUUAGCACUUCAUUCUGUUUGUGUAUGCUUAAUCAGAAUAACCUUUUAAAUUGUACAGAUUUCAGCUUGUGCCAGUAUUCAGUCUUUCUGCAUUAUGUUCUCUUCUCAGGCAACAUCCAGGCUUGUCAUUUUCCAAUUGUCCAUUCAUUCCAUCAGGACAGUAGGCCUUCCCCAAUGAUCAAAUUGUAAUUUGAAGUCUGUAAAGGUGAAGUGUAAGCCUUUUUGGCUGCAGCUGAGAGGUAUGAAUAGCCUUUUUCCUUAUGUCAGUCUUCAGUUAGCAAUCCAGUAGAGGCCUUGUUGGAGAUGCUCUUCCAGUAUAUUGAAUCUUUUCCAGUUUCCUCACUAUAUGUUUGUGCUAAGUUCAGCUGCUUUCUUACUACACUAUUUCUUACCACUGCAUAUAUGCUUUGCUGCUGCAUCUUACCUUGUCAUAUCCCUUUUGCCAUGUUUCCCUAAGAAGAAUGUUUGAGUGUAAAUACUGAUAAAAAUAACAGUGUUACAGCUUCUGAGUCAUCUGCUCACUUUGGUAUUUUUGAUUUUGCUGUUUAUUAUCUAUGAUGGCUGACAUCGCUUCUCCCCUCAUAUAUGCAGCUAGCUCAUUCCAUGUUGUUCUGGUAUCUGCAGGCCCUAAAACUGUCUGCACUCCAGGCCAUCCCUAUAGCUAUUUAAAUACAUCUGUGUAUUUAAACAUUCAAGGCUUGUUAAUUUCUACUGUGCUGCCAUGCACAAAACACUAAACAGAGCCUGACAACUUUUUCUGCUUCUAAUAUGUCUCUGCUUUCUUUUGGCUUAUGACCAUCAUAGUGGUAUAAUCAUUCAAAUUCUGGUCUUCCUUCUUAAAUCCAGACAGUGUUAUGCAUCCACUCAUAAUAAUCAGUUUCUAGAUCUUUUGAAAGAAUCUAGAAAGAAUUUUGAAAGAAUUUGAAAGAGCCCAAAGAUUUAGUCCCUGCUUAAUACCAUUUCCUCACCUCAUCUAUUUCUUCCAAAAAAAAUAAAAAUGGAUAGAUUUCCUAGGAGCAGAGUGGGAAUGUCCAGCAGGGGACUGGGUUUGUUUUUGUCCUACCUAAGAAUCACAGAAUUAUAGAAUCAUUAAGAUUGGAAAAGGAAACUAAGAUCAUCUAGUCCAACAGUCAACCCAACACCACCGUGCCUUCUGAACCAUGUCCUCAGAGCCUUGGUUCCCCUGUCAAUGGUCUUGUCCUUCACUAAUCAGCUAUAAGAGAAACAAAGUCUCUGUUCAGCUGAUUCACAGGAAGGGAGCAGACACAAAGAUCUCUGAUCACCUAGGGCUAUGAUCAGAGGCUUUUAAAGCAAUCUUUGGGCCUCCAUCCAGUGUCCACCUAGUGUCAGUUUGCCAGACUGCCACAUUUUCUUUCUCAGAUUUUCAGCAGCUGGCAUCCACCACAAAGACUGCUGCCUAUCUACAAGAGAUUAGUACACUGUAAAUGAGAAAUGCUUCAAAAAGUCUUCCAUGCCUUUGUCCUCCUCUAUUAAAACUUAGUCUCACAGACCACAUUGAGAUCAUCUACUGUUAUUUUUCUGUUAGUCUUUGUCUGGCUCUUUAACCUUUGCUGUUAAAGCAUUGGUUUAUGCAAAUAGAGAGAUUUCUUCAUUGAUAAGAUUGUUAUCCAAAUUAUUAGUAAUCUUUGUUUUUUCCCUCUUUCCCUGUUUCAGCUGCACAUUUAAAAUACUGAAAUGCUCAUACAGUUCACAAAUUCUCUAUUGCUUCUUGGCCUGUGCAAUCCUUCAGCUGUCUCCUCAGUAACUCUUAUGUUGUCUUCUGUUUCAACACAUGCACAAGAAAAACUCACAAAGGAUUCCAUCCUGGGAGCUGAGUCAUUCUCUAAAUCAAGAACUGUCAUUCUCUGUACAUAAAAUAUUCCUCUGCAGAGCUUAAGGGAAUUUAUAUCUGCAUAGAAGAAAAUUGAGCCUCAUGCCAAUAGAUGAGAUAGACUUUAUGGCUUCUCCAUGAUCACACCACAUAUUGGUAAAAGCAUGGAACUGUGAAAUAUGAGAUGCAAAUGUCAAAAUAUUUCUUUGUUUUUGUAAGGAGUUGCACAAGGAGUCAUUCCUUUUCUGUACAACAAAGUAUGGGUAUUCAUAACUGUAAAAAAAGCCACGCUACCAAGAAUAGAAAAAAUAAAUGCCAUUUGUUGUUUGUUGUUUUGUUUUUCUAAUUUCCUUUCUGUAGAAUGUAGCAUCAAUAUUCUCAAAAAUAAUAAUAAAAAAAACCCUCUAAAAAAACUAUCAUAUUGUCUAUUGUUUUUCUUAAAUCUAUAAAUGUUUUGCAGGUCUUAAGUCAGUUGUCUUGCUCCAGUUUUUGAUCUUUGGAAUAAACUUAUUAUUAGUAGCAUAUUAUUAUAGAUUAACUUAUUUUGGCUUUUAGUAUUUGUCCUGUUGUUCACAUGAUUUCAUUUGUAUGUUGGGAACCAAUUUUUUGUAAACAUCAAGAGUUCUUUCAACACUGACACAAUUGCAAGGAAUUUGAGGUAGGUUCUGUCGUACUUCUAUAAUAAAUUAUUAUAUAACAAGUUGAGUAGCUACAGAAAAAAAGGCCUUUUUAUAAGUUGGAAAAUGGGUACACUGCACAUUUCAGGUUAAUAAAAUUUAUAUGCUGUUUUGAGUGCAAGUUUGCAUAUUAACCAAAAGGGGGUUGAUUAGUUUUUUUCCUUUUAUUCUUUUCAAAAUGUUUUUUUUUUUGUAUAUUAGCAAAUAUCCAUUAGUAAAAAGUAUAAAAUGUUCUCUGAUAACUUUCUAUUAGAAUCAUAGAAUCAUAGAAUGGCCUGGUUGAAAAGGACCACAAUGAUCAUCCAGUUUCAACCCCCAUGCUAUGUGCAGGGUCACCAACCACAACACCAGGCUGCCCAGAGCCACAUCCAGCCUGGCCUUGAAUGCCUCCAGGGCAUGCCUCCACAACCUCCUUGGGCAACCUGUUCCAGUGCGUCACCACCCUCUGUGUGAAAAACUUCCUCCUAAUAUCUAACCUAAACCUCCCUUGUCUCAGUUUAAAACCGUUAUGUUAGAGAAGAUUCAGCAAAGGCUUAAAUUUCUUUUGUCUUACACUGUAAACCUGGAUAGUGAAGAAAAUAAAAUUGUCAAGAAUAUGGUAUCUGCUUGUAAAUAAAAUACUGUCAUUCACAGUUAGACAUAAAUAUGCAGAGGCUAUAGCUGUGAGAGCUAUUUAAAAAUCAGAAGUCAGAAUGCAGUCAUGUUCGGAGGAGUAACACAUAAAAAGUUAUCCCUCAAGAACAUUCCCUUCUAAAGUGUAACCAAAUAAAUAGAAUUAUUUCAUGUAGUGCUGUAUAAUUGAGAUGACUUAGAAUUCCCCCUCUUAUAACACUUUUGAUCUAGCUGUUAGGUGUGACAGGGUAAGGUUAAUUCUCCUUCUCCUAUCACAGGUUAGGAAAGACUUAGUUCUAAGAAUUAAAGGCUCAUUAAAGGAGGAUGGCGAGACUUCUUUUCCAGUGUACACAUUAAUUACCGUAACACUCAGUGAAUUUAUGUUUGCUGACAAAAUGACAUACCUUGUUUACAUAUCAGUGGAAAAAAAAAAAUUGAGUUUCUGGCUGAUUGAAACUGUCACUUUCCUCAAGUAACUACUCUAAUGAAGUAAAACCAAGGAAAACAGAGCAAGAUUUUGUAAAAACAUAUACUUCUUCUAUAAGCAAAACAGCACCUGUUUCUUUUUAGAAAGAAUGUGAAUUGAACACAAGUCUUGAAAAAGUCACUAAACUCGUGAUCUGAUCUACCGUUCUGGACCUUAUAUGACCAUCUACUGAAUUUCUGGCUUUCCACUGAUGACAACAAACACCUUUGUAAGUAAAAUUAACAUAGUGCUCGUACCUUAGAUUUUGAGGUGAGCAAUGCCAGGGACAUCUGCAGCCACAGGACAGGUAAAACACUUCUAUCCUCCUCCAGCAACACAUCAGAAUUCUUGGUAAUUAAGAAAGGCUAGAGAAUACAUAUGUCAGCAGAUCUAUGUGGUUUUGUUUCCACAGGAAUACCUUAUCCUUCAUUUUAUUUUGCCCCUACUAAUUCUUUGCCUCAGCACACAGAAAAAUAACUGCACAACUGCAGUUUCAGAUACAUGUUACAAUCCUGCCUUCUGCUCAGUAUAAAAUAUUUUUACUCACCUCCCAGUGUGCAGUCCAGUGAGAAUAAAAUACAUUGCUAAGAAAUUAUUAAUAUAUGCAACCUUACUUGACUUUCCUUUUAGCUGCUGAAAUAAGAUACUUAAUUUCUUUACAAGUCUGUGUGGAUAGAUGUCUAGAGUUUAUGAACUGUCAAAAGUGUGAUUUAAGGAUAACUAGCAGAGCUGCAAAGCAAACAAGAAGCUGCUCAGCACUGGGUAGUGACAGUGCUUGUUUAAAAUCUGUUUAAGGAUCCACUGUUCCUAUUACGAUGUACAGUGCAUCUGUAGAAUUUUUCUUACAGAACAGGCAUCUCCAGGGCAUUAUUAUCACAAAGUUAUAAAUAAAGUACAGAAAGUUUUCAGUAUAUUUUCAAAACACAUGGUACUAGGAAUAGAUUAAGGAGUUUACUAUUCGUGAUCAAAGACAAUAGCUAAUGCUGCUGUAGUGGUGGUGAACAAAAGCAAAUUUUAAAAUGCUCUAUUAUUUCAUGCUUUAAAAAAAAAAACAAAAACAAACAAAAAAACAACUCAGUAUCAUCUUAGAGGUUAUUUUUUCAAGAACUAAUAAAAAAUACAAUGUAAUUAUUUUAAUACUUAAUUGUCACCCAAUCUGGUAAUGAAGGGAAAUAAAAAGCAUUAAGUCUUUCAGAAACUUUUUCUCCACAUAUUUACUAUCUUUUCUAUAAAUUCAGAAUCUGGUCUGUGCACUAUUUUUGGACUGUAAGCAAUCCACAGAUAAUCUGGUACUAGCAUUCAUGUCUGGAAAUUUAGUAUCUUUUGGCUUGUUUGACUGAACUUGCAUGAUAGUCCUGCUGGAUGUGGGUACUUAACACAUCACUAGUCCUGUUCAAAUAUUAUUCUGCGUGAUUUUUCUCUGACUGUCACUAAAAUUCAUUCUUUCUGUAAGGCUAUGUCGACGGUUUACGGGCUGGUCUGGCCCGGUUCCAUGACUAGUGGGGCGGAGGGAUUUUUUUGCAACAUCCGUGCCUCCGGAAAAGAGAAACAGGGGACCCCCCCCCAAAAAAAAAGAAUAAUUAAAAAAAAAAAAAAAACAGCAGCAACGAUCUGAGGAGAAACAAACUAAUUUACUAAAUACAGUAUUGGAAUGCACGAUAACACACUAUAAUACAAUAUAAUUCAAUGUAAUUGUUAAUAAAAUCAAACAUAAUUGAGAGAAGGAUUGUCCAAGAGCUAAAGGCCUUACACUAAUACUGAAGCCUUGUGUGCAGUCUGGAGCAGCAGCGAGACAAUCCGCAAGCGAGCAUGAGACGAGAAGAAAGGGAAGAGGACUCACUCAGGUCAGGUGACCUACAGGCCUUAUAUCUGUUCCCCUGAGCAGGAAUGGUAACUACUCGAACAGUCUUCUGGGGAACGUAGUUCUUCUCUUCUGGACAAGUACCCAGAACUAGAGCAUUUGCUCUCUAACUCCCAGUACACUGCAUGAUGUUAUGAUGUGGAAUACUGAUAACCAAAAAUCAUAAAACCAUGACAGGCUAUGAUCAUGGAAGAAAAAAAAAAUGGAACAGUAGAUGUCUUAGCAUAUUUUUUUUUUUACUGAUUUGACCAAAUAUUCACACAGAAAUAUUUCUAAGCAUUCGCUAACUGGCAGGCUAACAGUGCCUUUAUAUCCACUAAUACCAUCUCAUGGGACAAGAAUCGUUGCCGGACCUCACCUCCUCCCAGACUCUUCAAUGCUCAUUCUUUUUGAGUGACAGGCCUCUGCCCAUGUGUUACCCACAGCAGAACUCCCAAGAAAAUGCUUCUUUAAACCUGGUGGUGAGUCUACAGCAUCUUGUAUUCUGUAUUCCUGCAUCUAAAACUCCUUCUCAGAAGCACAUCCCUUAAAUUGCUAAAUGGCAGUACAUUUGAUUCUUUCUGGUAUGAAUGCCCUACAGCUACCACUUUUUGUCUGAGCUCUGAAGAGGCAUUUCUGUCUCUAUUAGCAUGGCAAGCCAAACUACAAUUUGUCUCUGCAUGAUGCUUCUCUAUGGUACUACACCACUGCACAACGACUCACAAUCUCUCAAAGAACCAUUUUAAAGAAAACUGCAAAACAUUUGUUCACCUGCAUCUCUCCGUAAAGCUUACCCCUGUGAUAAGCAUCAGAAACGUGCCUGCCUCAGGUGUGCCAAGCAAUAGUGCAGUAUCACAGAUCCAGCACUCAGCGGCCAUCUUUGUGUUUUUCACUUCCCUUUGGAGAUGCUGGUCAGUGAUUUCCUUCCCCUCCCAUUCCUUCCCACACUGGGUUUGCCCUGAGUUUUGACUGUAAAUCUUCAAAAUGGAAAAGCAAGGGUAUAACCUGGAGAUAGGCAAAGUGGGGCAUCCCUAAAUUAACAAUUCUAUUUCCCAUUCCAGAACUCUUAGUAUGUUCUUGGAAAUAUCUCUAAUCACAGUCUGGUUCUCUUCUUCCUUCGUUCAUUGAUUAUUUCAAGCAAAUUCAAGAUGAAAAUAUCAGGCAGUUAAACUGAGAUGUAUAUAAUAUCUAUGAAGAAGAUAUCCCCCCAAGUUCUAAUAAAGUCAGAGACACUUUUCCUGCUGGUUAGGUUCCACUCAGUGUAAGCAAGAAUCAGAAUAUGACCCUGUACUACAGUUGUUAGAGAAACCAAGAGCUGUUUAUCUUAACUACUACAUUAACUAAGCAUGAUUAUUUUUAAUUGAAUGAUUGUUGAAAGCAUUACAGGUGGCAUAAAGGAAUUUUUGUAAGCAGGAACAAAGGAAAAGGACCUGAUCCUUUAGCCACCCCAGGGAGACAGCUGAUGGUGUAUUUGCAGUUUGAGGCCUUAGAAGAGUUCUCAGUGAUGUCCUUAGAGCUUAGCUAACAGAUAAGAGUUUCCUAUAGUUCAUUUCCUAAGCUACUUCCUGCUGGUCUACAGUAUUACAUCCAUCCGUCUCAUCCUCCGGGCUUCUUUGUGUUGUUUUUUCACCUGCCAUACCUAAAGGCACACUACCGACCUCAUUUAAUCCUGAAGAGCAAGGAUGCUAAUUGAGUUGAAAAUGGUAAUGAUGCAUCUAAUUUUCUCAUGUCUGUGUGCUCCCCCUCCUUUCAGAACACCUGACAACACCUGCAUCCCAGAACAAGGGCUUCAACAUGUAUUUUCCUGUGUUGCGCCCAGCUACUCCCUUGACCUAUUAUCUGUGGCAAGUUACAGUGAAUCAAACAUGAUUCCCUCCACAUUUCUCUUCAUUCUGUUUCUGAAUAAGAGCUGAUGUAUGCUCAGGACAUUUUUGUAUUUGCUGCCACAGUUAAAGCAUAAUUAGCUACAUGAAAAAGAAGGGGGAUUAACCACCUCCACUUAGCUGAGACAUUGUCACCUUUAUACUUAAGGCUGCUAUUUGGUUUUUCAGGUAUUUCAAUUGCCAGUCAAGGAGCAGUUUAAGUCUGUAAUAUAAUAAUACUUGCAAUUACUAGUAAAUAACAUUUUACAGCGUUAACUAGCCUGUCCUUACAACAUCCUUUCCAGGCAGGCAAAUAAAUGUUAUUAUCCUCAUUUUACAAACACAUUGAUUAAGUGACUUGCCUAAAGGCCACACAUCAAUUUCAAUGUCAGCGCCAAGAUUAGCACAAAGGAACUUCUGCAUUGCAGUCCCAGGAAAAGGGAAAAAAAAAUAUCUGUAAUAUUAAGUGCAUCCUCCCCUAAAACAAGCAAUCACUUUUCAGACGCUCAGUCUAAAUAGUGUUUACCUGCUUUGCAUCCCCUUAAGUCCUGUGCUCCGCCCACCUGUUAAGUGCUGCUUGUUAAUGACUCAAAAUGGUUCCCAGCCUGCCGCUAGUAGGGGAAGCUUUUCCUUCACUUGCUAGUUUCAUCCCAGUCGCUGGCAGGUGCUGUCUCAAGAACCUGCGAAGCUUCCAGGCUUACAGCUGAACCUGUGCUUAGACAAGUGAGGAAGGCUUGUGCUGCUCCUUGAAGGGCAGCCUCAGUAUGAUCACGGAUUUGAAGCAGCAGCAGUUGCAGCAGGAGCACGAUUAGGAAGAAAUUAGAAUGAUCUUCCACCAUUUAAUAGAUCGUUGGCCUCUCCAACCGAGCACAUUUUCAAUUUCUAGGCUGUGUACAGCCAGCACAGUUGUCUUUCCUAUUGCUGCUGUAGCUACUGUUUGGAAAUUGUGGUAGCUGGAAGGCAGUAUUGGAAAUUGAGCCUUCAGCUCUAAAACACAUUAACAUCUCUAGUCCUCAAUCUCUUGAGCUACUAAGUAAAUUGCCCUAUUUCAAAGCACCUGCUUUUAUAUUUGGAAGGAAUUUUGGUUUUGAUCGUUUGUUUCAGACUGAGGCAUUAUGUCUCUGUUCCUUUCCUGACUGAUGAGCAAUGCAGACCUUACUGCAUACGUGUAUUUUAUGACGUGUGGAAGUAUAGCAAGUAACACUGUAGUACACAAAAAUCUAUUAAACACUGUAGAAUUUCCAACGUUAAAACCCUGCUAUGUUUGCAGGCAGUUAUUGCUUAGGGAAGGGAAAAAAAAAAAACAAAACAAAAAAACCAGCAGCAAUUGCUUGCUCCCCACCCCCCACCAUAACAUAUGUUUCCUACCUGUAAAGACAAAACAGAGAAAGUCACUCCAGCACUUUCAGCAGCUAAUUAAGGCCAUUCAUGUGUUAAGGGUGGCAAUGUUUUCUCCUGACUUAGGCACUGUUUACAAGAUCUUCAUGACUCAACUUCUAAAUGUGACAGAAAACCAAAAUAAUUGUGAAUCUUUUGAACUUCGGUAGCAUUGUUUGUCAGUGGUUUCACAGAUCUGUCAUUAAAGCCUACGGCAUCAUUUGCAAAUCCCUUAAUUUGACCUAGUCAUUGAAACUGAUACUGUGCCAAUGUCUGAAAGCAGAUACAUUGAAAAAUUGUCCAGCAUUUAUGAUAGAUACUGGUAUUUCAGACCAGAGUCCCAGGCAAUUAAUUAUAUUUUUAAUAAGCAUACAUAACAAAGUUAAAUUUAGAAGUAGACUUUGAAAUGGUUGCCAAGUUUUUAACUGAAGGUCAUUUGUACUUUUUUAUUUUUAUCCCAGGUGGAGAGAGUAUGCAUGUCUAGAUACUCAAACGAAAUGUGUAGACUUAAGUACAAAAUACCUCAAAUAUUAGCCACAUUAAUUACACGUUUUUUUCUUUCCCUUUGAGAGAUCAUUUCUUGCAUUAAAAGAACAAUGCUCAAUUGAUUGCUUGCAAACCAUCUAUAGAUUGCAGUAUCAGACACAUUCAUCAGGUUUACGCCUGUCAAAUUUUUAUGUUUGUUUUCAAAUUUUUAACAGCAAAAAAUAAAACAUAUUUAUAAAUAAAUGCUUAACUGUGUUUGUGUUUUUGGCAGUGUAUUGGCUUGGCUUCUACGCAUCUCUGUCAUCCUUACUCUUCCAUAUCAAACUGUGUCACUUAAAGAGACACAUUAAACCGUAAUAGAGGGGUACUCUUGCUGGUGAAAGAGCAAAUCGUGGCUUCAUGGCCAUAGAUGUGAUUGAGUUCUGAAGCCUGAUAAAUAUUUUAUCAUGACACAAUUUCAGAUGCUCAAGGGCUUCACAAUUUUAAUUGUGUUUUAAUUAUAGCACCUCCGUUCAAUUAUGUUCUCUGCCUACUUCAGAUAUAAGUACUUCAGUGUUUUAAAUGGUAUUUUGGCAAAACUCACCUGCAAGGCUGCUGCAAUAUUCGGGGUGUGUCCUGUAACCUUCAGCAGUAGUUUUGUAUGUAGUUUUACACACAAAUAUAUAAUCAAGAAUAAAAGAUGAGGAAGUACUACGAAAAGCAUUAAAAUAACAGAAGAUCAUGUGUUAGCAUGAAAAUGGCAUGUUUUUCUUCUAUUUAGCUUUGCAUUCUGCAGUACAAGUAGUACUAGUGUUUUGUGAGGCAUGUUAUGCUGCACAGCAUGAACUUCAUUUGUGAUUCCUUAAGUACUACCAUGAACACGACUAUUGAAGAAAAUAAGUUUUCUUAUAGUUACUUUUGUUCUGUAAUUUGUAUUACUGCACUUCUCUUAAACUCUAUAGCACCUCAUUGCUAAAAUUAAUUAAUUAAUUAAGAAUUAAUUUUGAGUAGGCACUUGGAUUCCAGUCUGCUAAGGGCUUAGAUCCAUGCUUAUCUUCUCAAACUCUUAACACUCUCACUGCUUUUUUUUUUUUUUUUUUUUUUUUUUUGCAUUUAUGUCUAAGAGCUAGCUUAAAACCGUACUACAUCAAUAAGACUUAAACAUUUUAUAAUGUUUUUCGCUCAAUUUUGGUACUCAGAUGUUCACUGACAAUUCAUCUCUUUCAUUCACUUCCAAAAUCUACUCCUGAUUUUAAUCAGUAUAUAACGUCAGUGUGUAAUGGAAUGUUCAGGUGUGCUUUCAAAACAAGUUAAAAUUACCUAGUGAAAGCCUUAUUUACAUUUUCAGAAGCUCUUACAAAUAAAAUUAUUUGUGUUUGUUCAGAAGUGCAAGAACUAUGGGUGAAACUGUCUUUGUUUCUGGUGCAAAAAGUCAGGCUAGAUGAUCAAAACACUCCCUUGUGGCCUUAAAAAUCUCUGAUGUGUUUUAAAGCUUACAAUUGCCACAUCAGAUCAGUGAAAUGUUAUCUUUGUUUCCAAAGAACAAGCCUCUGUGAUCAUUACUGCUCUGUUGGCUGAUCAUUUUAAAUUAACAUAGCACAAAACAAUUCAAAAAAAUCAAUUCAUAUUCUUAUCUCCAGAGUUACAGUUUUAAAUGUGGGAAAAAAAAUGGAGUCAGAAAAUGGGAUUUGCAUGAAUAAAAUGCCUUAUACCUCCCAACCACCUCCUCUAUUAUCUCAUGGUGCUUUUCAAAUAAAUGAUUCCAUGUAACUCAGAACUUCUAAAGGGAUUUGAAGGUUAUUGCAUUCCAUUCACUUCCAAGUAGAUUGGAUACUAAAAAUAAAAAGUAAUGACAGAGCUUACCUUUCCUGACUCUGGAACUGAAAUGGUAAAUAUUUAAUAAGGGAAACUCACUUUCCCAAAGUUUUGUUCAUCUCUGUCUUUCUCGCUAAUAAAAAAGCAAAAUGAGUUUCUAAGCAUAUAGCUAUUCUGAUACUAUACUCAUGGAUGAUCAUCUUUCUAUUGGACAAAUGCAAAAUCCCUGUCCUGCAUAAACGUGAGGAUUUUUUACUGAUGAGAAUAGCUCCAAUAAAGACAAUAAAGACAACUGAAAAUCCCAUGGGCAUAUAAGAUACAAUACCAUAACUAACUUGACCUGUUUUUAUCUACCUUACUAAAUGUCUUGGUAUCACUGAAACAUCUGCAAACGUCUUAUAUAGGUAAUACCAUAUAUUUUAAAAUGUAUGAUAUAUACAUCCGUGAUUAUUUCUAAGUAUGCUUCAAGUACACUUGAAAGUAGUGCACACAGUGGAGCAUUUCUGCUUUAGUCCAGUUUUCAAAUAUAGAAAAAUACAAAGGCAUCUAAGUUCUUCCUUUUCAAGAUCUAAAUAACUGAAUAUAAUUUGUUUCUAAUUUUGAUUGUUAUAAGACAUUUACCUAGAAGAAAACUAUUAUAACAAAUCAUAAUGUUUUGUGUGUUGCUCAAUGAACAAAAGAAUCUUUCUACUAGGGGCCAUCAUCCCAAUGAGACUCUAUAGCUCCUUUCGAAAAUCUCUCCAAUUUGCAUAGCAUUAUUAGCAUAAUGUAUUUGGCUCACAUAAAGAGAUAAAUAUGGGUGUGCCAGGAAGACUUCAUCAAAUAUGAAGUGAGUAUGAACAAAAACACCAAGCUGGAGAUCUCAGCUCCCUCUCAACUCAUCUUCCCAUGCAGGCUCUCACUCAGAUCAUUGAUCUCUCUCUCAGUGCUUUCGAUGACCCCUGAUCUUUCUUUUUUUCUUUUCUUAGCCUUAAAAGUGAAAACAUUGUUUUGAAGAAAAUAGCUGGAAUAGGAAAAGUAUUUUUAUCAAGUUAUCUCUACAUCUCCAAGCAAGUAAUACUGUGCCUCAUUAUGUCUAUGUGCAAAACGAGGAAAAAAAAAAAAAAAAAAAACCAAAAAACACUAGAAUGACUUUUAGGAGACCAAGGAGAAAAUUCAAUCCCUCUUUCCCCCAGUGUUGCUUGAUUUGCCCCAUCUCCUGGACCAACUUUCAAAUAGGUUUGGUUAUUGCGUGCCUGCUGAUGUGUAUUUGUUUGUAUUGUCUUCUCAGGAAUUUAAUUUCACAUGCUACCAACACAAUCGUGUCACUGCAAUUUAGCAUGCAUUUUGAUGAUGUGUUCUAUAUCUCAUUAAAGUCUCGUCUCUUUAGCCAAUACCAUAUGCUACUCAUCUGUAGAAAAGCUCUUAAACAUAAUGAAAAAGGUAUAAUCACAAAUGAGAAGGCAAAUGCUGACAAACAACCCACAGGUAUUCAAGUUCCAUGACACUACUGAAAGAAAAUAUAGUGCAAAAAGAAAGCCUUUUAAAUUUUUUAGAAUCGUUAUCUGACAGGAAAAAAAUGUUGAGCUUGGAGGUACUCUUCAGUUACUCUAUGCAACUCCAUUGCAGCAUUCUCAGAUCACGAGACAAUGAUGUACCAAUGUAUAUGUAGGAGGAAGAUUUGUUUUUAACAGAGAUAAAAGUUUCAAGUUAUUGAUAUAUAAUACUGAACAAUUUGUUUUCAAAAGUGCUAAUUUAAAGAUUAAAAUAUUUUGAAAAUAUUUUGAGACUAUUAUACCUAGUUUUUCUUUUCCCUCAGAUUUUGAUUUUUUUGUUUUUUUGUUUUGAGCCACAAUGGGAACUUUAUAUAUAUAUAUAUUUUUCUGUAUAUAAUCAUUAUGAGAACAGAAUAAAAGAGUUAGUGGUGAUCAUCUGUAUCAAGAGUAGUAGAAGAGAUAAGCCAAGUUCUGACCUCAGACGUGAAUAUAUGACUGUCAGUAAUCAAAUUAAAGUGCAUCUGGGUUAGGUAAGAAAUCGAGUUUAGAAAGAGGACCAGAGAGACAAUUUCUAUCUACUCAGUAUCACUACUAAUACUUAAAUUCUUAAAGUUAGAGAGAUGCCAGCCCUGAAAGGACCUCUAUACACAUAUGAUGCUAGUUUUACCGUAAAGAUGCACUGAGACCCUAAAAGUUUUGCCUAGGCACAUGAAGGCCUAAUCCCAGCCUUCUGGUCACUGGUCUCAGGGAAGCCAGGACAAUGCAGAAGAGAGCUGUGCCUGGGCAUUGCCCAGAGCUGAGGACACCAUGACAAGGAAGUGCUAGAAACACAGUGACGAUGGCUAGGGAGGCUGCCUAGUUGAGCACGUAAUCCAGAGUGGAGAACACUUGGAUGAGGCUUGUGAGCAAAUGGUUGAUGUUCACCCACAGUUUUGUUCCCCACCUUUGGGAAAUAAAAGCCAAGCACAGGUUUUUGUAAGCAGGACUCCAGGACUUGACUCCAGUCCAUCUCUAAUUAAAUCUAAAUUAAAUUUCACCAAGCAGAAUUACCAGGGCCUAAACAGACCUGGUGAUAAAUCCUUCUUCCUGGUGCUGACUAGUAUUCACUAAAGACAAAGAUCCACUAACGAGGAACGGUUUUGUCUGUUCUUGGUAUGUUAAUUCAAAUCAUAAGAACUAAGCUAGUAGGUUUCUUUGGAUGGACAGUAUAUUGCAUGUGUUCAUUUAGUCACAUAUUUUAAUUGUACAGAUCAUGAAAUAUAUUUGGAAUUAUAUUUGGAAUUAAGAGUUCUUAACAUAAGAUAGCCAUGUAUGCAAAAUCAAAGCUUUUAUACAUUUCUUUGGUAACAGCUUCUUUAAAACACACUCAUAUCAUGGACUUUCUCCUGUCAAAGCUCUGUAAAUGGUUGCUUUACUAAUGGCUACCUUAGUCUCACUAUUUAUUUUUCCUUUUUUUCUGAGAGUAUAAUCUUUUUUAUCUCCACCUUCCAUCUGGAAAUAACCUGCACUGAAUCAAAUGCACCUUUUUUAAAGUGCAAUUUUUAAUUAAGCAGUCUUUUUCAUUUAUUAUUUUUUCUCCUAGGAGGCUCUGAAGCUUACUCUGUUUCUGCCUGAGUAUACAUAGAUUAUUGGCUUAUUUUGUCUUUUUAUUUUUAGACUCGCUUUGAACAAACUUUGAUGGCAGUAUGAAAGUUAAUAAGGAUCAUAUGAUCCUUUCCUUCCAGCUGUAAAUGUAUGAAUAAUGGUCAUUUUGUGAAUCAAGCUCUGCAAUAUUCAGUUAAAUAAAUAAAUAAAUAAAUAAAUAAUACCUUUUCAUUAAUCGUUGACAACAAAUUAGUAUUCUGAAAACAAAAUGACUGCAUUCCUAGGACAAUAUCACUUUCUUCAUGAAAUUUAGUAGGUGACUGAAAAUUUUAUAUGCCGCAGUUUCUGAAUGCCCAGCUUAAAAUUGAAAGGCUCAGAAUAAUAGGAGAAAACAAAAUUGUCUGAAUGUAGUUUAUGUAUCAAUAUAAUUCUGUGCAUUGUGUGGUGCUUAGAUAUACAAUGAAACUUGCAGUCCCAGACACAAUAAAAGGUCAUUUCUGUGGCUUCCUUGUAUCUCAGUCUUUCUUACAGUCUGUGGAGAGCAUCUGCUUGUUCUUAGUCCAGGCUGUUUGAUAGUCUGAAGCUCUGGAGCAAUACUGCUUAGUAGUCAUUAGAAGUUAUUAUGGAUUUAUUCUAUAAUAAUGAUUAAGAAAUAUCUAUUCCAGAUGUCUGCACAAAGCUUUAUGUGCUAAGUAGAUAUACUGUGAAUUAAUAAAGCUAUUUCUCCUGAAUGUUGCUACCAACAGAAAAGGAGCCAAUUAAUUCCACACAACUUUUAUUAUUAUUUAUAAACUGAUUCUUAAAUAGAAAUGCUUACAUCUGCCUCUUGCUCCAGAUGGUGCAAUUUAGCUGCCUAUGUUACUCAUGAAUCGUCUUUGGUUUUAAACAAAUUCUUAACUCAGCAACUGUCUUAUCAAUAAUUCUCCAUUUCUUACAAUUGAAACCUAAACUGCACUGAUGCUUUAAUUCUCAGAACAGAGAAUUUUCUGUCUCGUGGGUCAAAAGUACAAGGAAAAAAAUAUUUUUAAUAUUCCACUGAAGCGGUCACAGUUGUAAAACUGCCUGGUACUGUACCCUCAGGUUACUAGCAAAAAUCCAGGCAGCAGAUUGAAUCCAAAAUUCUCAUGAGGUCUGACCACAUGCAGAUACUGGGACAGACGUUUUAUUAUUAUUAUUAUUAUUAUUAUUUUCCUAGCACAUCAUCUGGUCAUUGAGUUUACAUUUAUGUUCCGGGCCCUAGACGUACUAUUUCCAGCUAAGAACAAAUGCUUCAGCUAUAUAACAAUGCUAAGUCCUUGUCCUAAAAGCUGCCCAGGAGGAAGCAAUGAGCAGGCUUCCAGCUCUCUGCCAGGAUGGUCAGGUGCUGGAUGCUAUUUCUGUAGUUAAGAACCAUUGUGGGUGCAGCUGCUCCGAGAUACUGAGGGGAGGAGGGAACAAAAAAAAACAAAACAAAACAAAGCAUAUCAAAAUCAAUACGUAGGCAUUAUCCUGUAGGAAUGUAAAAAGUGCAGCAAGUAUAGUCUGGCAAGGUCCUAGCAAAGGUUCAACCCAGAUCCACCAUAAGUGUAGCCCUGAUAGAGACCUUCAGAUGUGAUUCAGCUGUCUACUGGAAUAAUAAGCAGAAAUGACUAAAAUACACUUCUGCUAUAUUAUGCCAUGGCUGUAAUUCUUGCCUUGAACCUUUAUUGCCAGUUACAUGUUUUGAAAUGAUUCUAAAAGGUAGGAUUUAUUUAGUUAUAUUAAAUAUAGGAUUAAUUCAAUUUGCCUUUGUAAAUCAUAUUCUUAAAAACCAACUUACACUGAAUUCAAAAUGGACAAUAUUCUUGAGACUUUCAGAAUAAAAUAGUUCUGUAGAGUUUGAGCUAAGCCCUUCAAAUUAGUAACAUGUAACUAGUCAGAUUAAAAACAAAGCAAGCAAUUGCUUUUCAAAUUAUUAUUCUAAAAAUGGACUGGAAUAAAAAUAAAUAAAGAACUUAAAUCUAUGCAUUCACAGAAUUUUAUUCAUGAGUGAUUUUGAAGUCAGUUUGAAAGCUAAAAUUUCAUUUGAAAGGUAAAAUUGAAAAUAGGGUAAUCUUGUAUUUAUGAUUUCUAUGUAUGCUACGUUUUUGGUUUUUUUUUUUUCCUUUUUUUUCCCCCAAAAUUAAGAAAAACACUUGAAAUGGCUUAAACCUGAUUUGACUUACUGCUUCUGUACCUCAGCUGGUAUGUCAUUUUAUUAUGAAACCUUCCUAAGAGAUUUAAAAGCUAUUCAUAGCUUAUUUAUACUUAGAUAGAAGAGAGUAGCCAUAACCUUACUGAUAAUAAUCGAUCUUGUGGUCAUGUAUUGAGUAUCUGAUUUUUUCUUUACCAGAGUGGGCAUUACCUGGGACUUGACCUGCUUUUAACUGAAGCUACUAGCAUAGCUGCUCCAAAGAGAUCUAAACCAAGGAGCAGAGCUGAUGUCUGUGGGAUGUGAAAUUAAAAGCCAUGUGACCAUAGGCAACAAGCUAACAGGAGAUAUGGGAUUAUAUUUUAGACCUAGGUGAUCAAAUUUUAGGUCUGUUUCAAGUAAUCUUCCUAUGACUAAGCACUUAACCCAAACUACUGAAAUGCCUUGGUGCAGAUUUGAUAAUUCUUUGGGCUUUGUGGUCAUGGUAUCUUUGUUAGUCUUAAAGCAGUCUCUCCAAGCUCUUCUAUCUUGUUUGAACAGUGACUGCAAGUUAAGGGGCACUUCCAGGAACUCUUUUUAGUCUGCUCUUGACCAUUUUUUUUCUUUCCACCUCUUACAGGUGACACUAUAGGAAAGCACUUUAAGGAAUGGAGAACCAGUACAGCAGUGGGUAGGACAUUGUUCUCAGCUGCGAAGUGCAGGUGAGGGCACUCCUUGUCAGCUCAGAUGCAAUGGUUAACCACCUAAGAGCUCUUCUGCUCCUCUUCCUUGGGAAGCCACAAUUCACAGCUGAGGCUGAAGACACAUAAUUAAUUCUUUGCUGUAGGGGACAUUUAACCUACUGAUAAAGGCAGACACUUAUGCUUGGGACAGUAAACUCAGAAUACCUGAAGUCAAAUAGUCUUUGCAAAACCAGUUUAAAUUAAGAUUAUACACUAUGUAGGCUUUUUAUACAGCUAACAGAAAAAAUGAAGGCAGAAUUGCUUUCUGAAGGAAUAUAAGCAGUAAUCAUAGCAGUUCCUCUCUGUCUGCAUAUGUUACAAUUAAGAAAAUUGGAUUUCCAGAUUCUUUUCUCAACCCAGCAGCUAGACACAGGCUGAAAGAAUUUUGGCUAUGUCUCAUGUCGGACACAGCUUUUAGAAAAUAAGUGAUUUUUUUUUUUCUUACUGUCAAUCUUCAGGUAUUUAAGAGUUCUUGAAAAGUUAGCAUCCUGUCACUAGGGGGGCUUUCAUUAAUUUGAUGUGCUGUGAUACCCAGCACAGAAUUAAAGGUGGGAAAUUCCAUCCUUCUUGUGAGAUUGAGGAGUCACAUCACCAAAAUGAAAGUACAUUUAGCAAAGCACCACCCGACUUUGCUCAGUAUGUUCACACAGUAUCAUGUCAUCAUCAUUUGGCAGAUAUACAGUUUUAAUAAAUCUGCUAAGCUGCCACUUCAGGCCAUUUUCUCUAAAUCUCAAAGAUCCAUGUGUUUAAAACUGAGAAACUGAAAAUGAUGAGUUGCUUGGUUUUUUUUUUUUCAGUCUACUUUUUUUCAACACAUCUUGACAGUGAACAUUUUACAGUCAAUAAAUGAUAUCUAAAGCUACCACAGGGAACCAGAGUCAUCCCAGAUACAAAUAGCCAAUUAUAAAAUGGAGCUCAGAGUUGAAUAAAUUAUUUUCUGACCCUAUAGGUGAUAAAGUGAUAGCCAACAGCACAAGUUUCAUUAUCCAUAUCUUUAUCACAGCUCAAAUGACUGAUAAUGUCAACGAUUACUUUGCUCAGAUAUUCAAAGACAAAUUUUCGGUAUGAAUCUAGCAAACUACAUUUUGAUCGCUUUGCUCCAGGUUUCUAAGACAGAGACAUAAACACUCUGAAAGACCUUACAGCUGUUGAUUAUGAGCUUGGACAGAAUUAACACUCAUACAAUAAUAAGACUUGUCCAAAUGAGCAUUAGGAUCAGAUACAGAUCAAGCAUGAAGCAAUUGUACCUAUCAGCCUCAUUAGCUAACCCUGACCAUCCUUCAUACUUCACAGAAGAACUUUCUGCAUUUUAAAAUACCAUUAAUGGGAGGGGGGGGGGGGGGAAGGGAAGUGUUUAGGAUUCCAAAUUAAUUGCUUCCACAUAAUAUUUUUCUAAUGUAUUUCUGUGAGCAUUGCAAAUAUCUGUUCAUAUUUCAUUUGGGCUGCUUUCCAAACCAUCAGACCCAUUCCUACAUACUACAAUACUGUAUCAGGUUUAUUUUAUACUAAAGGAAAAGUGCAACAGAGAAAUGCCCAGGGACAGCUAUUUUUUAGAAGUGACAGUUAAGACUUUGUUCAUCUUCUCAGCCAGUGGAUUCCUCCCAUUUAUUCAUGUCCCAGCAAAAUUUCCACUAUUACUCCCAACACACACAACUUCUAAUCAUUCAUAUACGAGAAAGAAGCAUUUCUCUGUAGUCAUUCUGCUUUGGUUACUGAGUCAUUACGAUUAGAGAGUUACUCUACGCAGUUCAAAAGCCUAUCAGGUAGAAGGAAUGGAAAUGAUAUACAAUAAUUGAUCAAAAGAUGGAAAUCGUGUAUUUGAAAUUCCAGUGUUUUGACAUUUAGUUUUUCAUCGCACUGAAAUGAGAAGUAAAUUUAACAAGAUUCUUUGCAAUAAAGAAAUUACACAAAACAUUGGGAAUCAGGGGAGGGGCUCAGAUAUUUUUGUUCAUUUGUUUUAAAAAGUAUUUACUAAGGGCACAGAAUCCUGCUGCAUUGUGGUCAAGAUAUCUCCUAGGUUAGGAUUUACAGCAUAGCAUGUAGAGAGAAAAUUUUAUUUUCCUGUGAUUAUUUUUUAUAUACAUAAUAUAUUUUUAUAUAUGUAUGUAUAUGUUUGUCAGAGCAAGAACUUCAUCAUGUAUGCAUCUUUUAAAUCCCAGACCACUCCUGUAGUUGCCAGGCUACACAUCAUUAGAGCCCAUAACUUUCACUGUACCCAUUUCAGCUCCUGGAAAACUAUAGGCUGUAAUGACUUGAAGGGAAGCAUUUUUCAAUAAAAUUUCAUCUAUCUUUAGCAGAAUAGCUUCUAUAUCUUUCUAGAUAUUGCCAAAGAGUGGGAGAACCUAAAUACAGUAGAAAGUGUUUUUCUGAUGUUACAAGACUAUAAAUAGGACAGUGCAGCAUGAGGAAUGAUACCCUAAAAUGGGAAGCUGAGCUAUUAUUUUAGGUAUUAUACAUGAAAAUGUCCCUUCUGGCUUGCCUCCAUUUGUGAGAAUGAGCCAUUUCAAUGCCCGCUUAGGCCUUUCAGUCUAUGAUCCUGCUUUUCUAUGAUUUAAAAUAGUAAAACUUUGACAUCCUUUUAAACUGCCAGUUCCUAACUGGCAAUGCUUUAUGAAUACUCUCUUCAAGAGACAAUUCUAAGAAGAACAGAACCAAGAAGUCUGCCAGAGAAAUAGAAUUAUGUCUAAAUCUUGGGUACUCUGUGAUGUAAGUUACUGAAAAAUGAAAACAACCUCAUGGUGCACAACAAAUGAGGUGUGAAGGAUUGGUAGAAAGAAUGAAAGGUAGUAUACUACUGUAAUAAUUCCAACAGUUUAAGGACAGCCUGUGAACUGAAAGUGCAUAACAGUUUAAGUAAGCACAAAGUUUGAAUGUCAAGAAAGGUCUUACCUAUGGUCCUUUAGAACAAAAGGCAUACUUCAUCUAUUAAUAAAAGUUUGAUCUUCAGCAUCAGACUUCAAUCAUAAGGCAGGACUGUCAUUGAUAUUGAAAGUCAAACAGUAUAAAUUAGUUUGCAUACAUGUAGAAGACAAAACAAAAGAACAAACACAGAUUUCCCACUUUCAUUCCUACAUAAUAUCUUUGCCAAAGCAUCAAGAUGCUUUUUUUUUCCUGAAAAAAAAAAAUCACUGUUGAUCACUUAUCCUUACUUAUUGCCUGGCGUAUGUAUACAAAAGCAGAACCUAAAGGUUCACUUAAAUAGAAACAACAGAAUGUCUCUCUCUACCGUGCUACUUAUCCCGUGUCUAAAAUGGGUACUGGCACAUACUCUGAGGUCCAUUUAUUUUGAGGUCCCUGGAAGCAUUAGAAAGCAAGAAUGUCCUGCUCAAUGCAGAUAUUGUUUGAGUGGCUCUGUGAGCUGCCAGGUGCUUGGUGAAGGUGAGGCUGGCAACCAAGGGUUCCACUUCUAACUGUAUUCGGGUCAUGACUUGGCUAUACUUCCUCUUAACAAUCAGUCAUGUUGGUCAGUGCCCUCCAGUUGGUGGUAGGCUUUAGAGUGUAUCUAUUACAUAUGCAUGAGGUUUGGAUGAUUGUUAGAGGGCCUUGCAAAACAUGCAGUAAGGUGUUUGUUUGAGAGCAACUCUUGCACAUGGGGCAAGAUAGACACAUCUAUGCAUGAGUUCCACCGUUAUCUUGACACAUGGGACACAAGGAUGACAGAAAACAGGAGUGUGACAGCAGUCUUCAAGGUCAUCAAACAACCUGGUUUUCAAAUGAAGGCUCGAGGAUGUAGCAUUGUCCAAAAAUGAAAAUAUCAGAAGUUCCUGAUAUAAAUAAUUCCAAAUUUAGUUCAGAAGUAGAAAAGGAUAAAAGAGGAGUACAUAACAUCUGAGAAUUAGGACAUAUACUGCCAACCCCACCAAAGUUACACUAAAAAAAUUACUUGCAAACAAGUAACUGCUUGUUACUUGCUGGGCAGUGAGACUGUUCCCAGUCUGCUCCCCUUAUUCCAGACACUGAAAUAAAGCAAAACUAAAACGUCUUCUAAAGCUCUCCAUUACGAAUCAGGAGCUUUCAGAUAGCUUAGAAGCACUUGUUUGCAGCAGCUCAUUUCUCAUAAAAAGCUUGUUGCCACUCUAGGGAGGAGUAAAAUCACUACUGAUGACAUUCAAAUCAUGGUCUGCCUUCUCAGCAAUUAAUUUUAAAUAUGAUUCAUACUCCAUUAUGCUCUGGAAACCAAAGAAAUUAUCCUUUAUUGUGUCUAGCCAUUUUUCAUCACUAUGGACUCAUAAUGACCAAUUUUACUCUUAUCUGUUAUAAUAAGCUUGAAAAUGUGCAAAAAUUAACCCGAAUGUUUACAUUUCCCUUUAAUUCAGCUUCAUAAGGAUUUCCCAGUGUAAAUAUACAUUUACACAAUAGAAUAGAAUUAUUAGCAUGUAACAUAUGUAAACAGCAUUAGCUUUUAAAUUGUUUAAAUAUUCAUGUUUGUAGAUUAGAAACAAGUUGGGUCAAUCUUCAGGGUUGGGUCCAACGCUACUGAACUUUGUCCUACUUACACAGAAAUCCAAAUAAAAGCAUACAUUUUAAUGAAUAUCUAAGCCAGUUUUAGGCUAUUUUAAUAGCUGUGGAGUGAUGUCUGAAAAUGAAUGGGUUUAUACCGUUCUUCCUCUUUUACAACACCAAUUUUUAGUUAAAGAUAAAAAAUAAAAGAAAGGUCACAGAGAAAAGGUCCAGGCUGACGUUUUCAGAAAUCCUGAUGCAAUUGCUUGUUUCAGCUGUGUGACUUUAAUAAUCUGCUGUCUCUGUCACUCAAAAUCUCACCUGUAAAACUGAGGUAUUUUUCUCCAAACAGAGCAGGUAUGCUGCAUGAAGUGGAGACACUCCUUCCUUUACCUGUUGGGGACAGGAUGUAUCCUCUUCCCUUGGGAGGCAGGUGCAGCUCUGCAUCCCAAACCAGGGCCAAAUUCUUCCUCAGAAGCCUACAUGAGAGGUUACUCUGCUGUAGUUCUCAUUAAGCUUCACUCACUGUGUGCACAGCAGCUGAAUGCUGCUUUCAGUCCAUGUCCUGCCUCCCACCCAGACCAGCCCCAUGCUGGCUAGGGGAUGCAGGAUUGAUACCACGGGGCAGCAGUGGUCAGCACACAACAAGGGAAACACGGCCUGACUCAUCCACUGGAAUAUUGCUCAAGGAAAGGAGUUAUGGCAUAACAAAACUUAUAAAUACCUGAUUUGUUUUGCUUUUUGAAUAAGGGUUACCACCCUUACCAGGUGGCAAUAGCAAAUGCCAUGGAGCUCAUACAGCUUGUCACCAGUAGAGCAAGUCCCACACCCCCCAUGAAUACAAGUUUCAGAGAGCACACUUCCAGCUUGAUCACAAAAAUUUGAUCUUAAAUUAAGCUCCCAACUUAACGGAGGGUAACUGGGGAUGUUAUUCCUAUUUUUAAAAUGUUACAGACGUUGCAAGGAAUGAGGGACAAGGGAUAGGUGUACAGGGCUCAGAUGCCCCAUCAGUGUCAGGGGGCUGCAGGGCUGUUUGAGACAAGGCAAGGACUGCCCCAUGCUGGACACAGACAGUUCGAGCCAACUCCAAUGGCCCCAGCACAGGGCAGGGUUGGGCCCAGCAGCUGCCCUGGGGUGAGGGCAGAAUGGGAGAGUGAGAGCGCAGCUGGGAGGGAAUUUGGGCUGAGCCAAGGUUAACCCACAGCAACAGACCCACAAGUUUUAAGACAGUUCCUAAGUAAAGGUACUUAGAAGAUGUACGUAUAGUCUGAAAGAUGCACAGAAAGAGCAUUAAUCGAAAGACUGACAGAGCAAGGACCAACAAAUGAGUUUAGGGUACUCUACAGAUACAGAGUCCAAUGCAAUAAUGGCUGCACUGCAUUAAUAACUGCAUGAAGCAACCACACAUAUGGAAAGCAAAAAAAUAAGGCAAGUUAGCUAACAAACUUACGAAAAAGCAGAGAGGUGCUUCUGAAGGAGACAAUCCCAUGGAAAGGCCAAGGGUUGUUCCCUUUUAUGGUCAGCUUUCUCUGCAUUUUUGUAAACUGCAUUUGAUUAUAACAGAAGAUAACUGAUGCAGAUUAUACAUUCCUAAUGAAAAUAACAAGGCAUCAAAUACUAGCUACUUGAUUAAGCAAAAGAAUGGUAAAACCAUGUAAUUUUCUUCAACCAUUAUUCUUAUAAUUCUAGCAUCUACCUGAUGCUAGACAUUUUCAGUUAUGGCCUCCAAUGUCAAACUUUCACUUACACUUUCCACAUUUCUCAAUUUUUUUAAAAUAUUUUUAAGGUAUGUUUGCACCAUUUAAAGAAAAAUGUUGAAGAUAUUGAAUUUGUCUCGAAUAAAUAAUCUAAAUUCUCACUUAAAAUUGAUCCCUUUUUGACCUCUGACUUGUCAGAGGAUGAGUAAUAAGCUGACAAAAUGCCUGUGCUUCCCAAGUCAUUUUUUGAUGGUCCCCUGACCAUUCCUAUCCUGCUAUAGAUACCUACCUUGCUUAAAGCCAAACAUCUUGAUCGUAAGUCAAUUAAAAUAACACCAGAGCAAUAAAAAAUAACCUGCAGAAACCAGUGAAGUCAAUUUAAUUGCCAAGUAGAAUUCCUGAGUUGGAAAACAGUACACAGAUUUUGUUAAUAAAUCUGUAAAUAAAGAGAAAAGAAAGGAAAAGCAAGCAACUAGGGUACUGCAUAGACACUUUCCCCUCACCUUUUUAAAUCCUGCCUCAAAUGAAUGAUACAAUUAAAAUGAAUUCUGAAGCAACACAACAUGAAUCUAUCUAUGAAAUUUAAUGUCCUAAAGAUGGUUCAGUCACUUGAACAAGACCACAAUGAGGGAAAAAAAUGUUAAUCUAAUUGUAAAACUUCUGACCAUUAAGUUAUUUACGUUGCAGGUAUUUGAUGCGUCUCUUUGCAAAGCUUUAAACGUGUAAUCUAGGAAAAUGGUUGUUUUUUUUCUUUUCUGUAAAAUGGCUGAGAUACUUGGUGGUAAGACAUUAAAAUGAAUUAUAUGGAAGUUGAUAUGUAGUAACAUUAGAUGCAGUUCAGCUGUUGAAAUUGUAAGCUGUUAAAGAACACUUUUCUCAAGCGAUUGACAUCUAUUUCCAGAACUGUAUCUUUGAGUAAUAUGCACGGGUAGGAAUCAUGCUGAAUUUUCUUCCACGAAGCAGCUCAAGCAAAGAUAUUCAGAUACUCAUUUAUAAAGUGACAGCUAGGAUCUCAGCAGGUUAGAAAGCCACAUGCUACAAAAAAAUUUACUGUAUAGAAACUGACCUAAGGAGGACUCUAAUUCCUGAAAAAUAUAACCAGAAACCACAUUCUACGUUGGCUUGCACUUAAUAUUGAAAGGGAGAAAUAUAGGACAGAGUAUGUAUGCACAGCAUAGUGCAUACAUUGUUUUGUAUGAGUUUAUUGUAUUUCAUUGUUUCCUUUUACAGUGGUCUUCAACAAUGAUCACUUUGGAAUCAGUAUUUAAUUUAUGAAAUACACACAACUCCAUAGAAACGAUGCCACAGAUUUCAAACAGCAUUGGAUCAAACUUGUGAGAUAACUGUAUUUUAACCUUGAACUGACCCCGCUCCUGCUCACUGUAUGAUCUGCUUUGUCUUAACCCUAUCGUCUUUAGUACUUUUGAAAGUUCAUCUGUGUCAACAAGGCAAAAGCAAAACUCUGAGAACAGCUUUAGUUCUUUUUCUUUCCAUGUCUUACUACAAAAAAUAAAAAUAAAAAAAAAAAUAAAUUCCCUGUGCCUGUGCUAUUUCUCUUGUUAUUACAAUUUACUUGAAGAUCAGUGCAUAUCUGCAUAAGACUCUUAAAUUGCUAAACAAACAAACAAAAAUUGAAAAAAACAUAGAAAUAGAAAUCUUCUAUAGUGCUUUUAUCAAAGCAUUUCCACAGAAAUGAUGCAUAUCUAGCUCCUAUGGUUCUUAACAACUUUAGCUCUUUAUAACCUUAGCUCUUUCAGGAUGUGAAAACAGUAGUCAUACUGCAGCAUAUGCUAGAGAGCACCCCAAUCUGUCCUAGGAUGCCAAAAAGGGGGAGAAAAGGAAUCCCCAACUAAGAAAACUUAUACAUUUUACUGAAUGGGAAGCUUAUUGUAGAGUUUUUGCUAAGCCAUUACUAUGGCUCUCUCACUUUGAAAUAGAACAUAAAAGGGUUUCAGCAUCAUGAAAAUCAAAAUACAGCCACCUGUUUUUGACAAUUCUCCCCCACACACAGAAAGUACAUUUAUUCUUUAUAUGCGUAUUUGUUUUGCAUGCUGUGGCAUUCUCUUACCAGACUUCUCAGUUACAGAAACAUGUCAGUUAAAAAUUAUUUUUACUACUCGCAAAUGCAUAUUUCAACUGGUACAUGGAACCAUUAAAAGUUUUGCUACACAGCAGCACCUGCAGAACUAAAUAAUUUUCUGCUCCUACUGUGAAGAGAUACCUCUAUUAUUGUCAGUGUGGUAUGGUAAACAUUGUAAUUCUGAACAUGCCCAUGGUACUGUGUGGCUGAUACUGUUGGAAUGCUCCAUGCCACAGAUCCUAUGUAUCAGCCAUCAGUCACUUCUAAUGUCAAUCUGUUGCUUUCUCCUGGAAAUAACUGAUAUAAUCUCACUGUAGUUUCUAUUAUAAGUCCAAUUUGUCCAUGCUCAUUAUGCAUAUAAACUCCUUUGCAUCAGAAUGAGAAUAUGAUGAAGACAGACAUAUUGAUACAUACUUAUCAAUACAUACACCCAAAUACAUGUUGUCUCUAUAAAAGCAAUAAUACAAAUGUAUUAUAUUCAGCUUUAAACAGAACUUUGGUAAUGUAGUUGUAGAUAUAUUGCAUAUUGCUUUUGGCACUACUAAAAAUAAGUCAUUUGGAUUAACCAUUUUCAAGAAGUACAUUUUAUAACUGGAACAUAUUUAUUCAAGUUCUCUUUUGGAUUAAUGCAAUUUGUCUGAGAGCAUGCACUAAUUUCUGUUCUCAGCAUAGCCUUGGGAGGUUAAAAAUGUUAAAUAUGAUUCUUUGCAGGUUUUAAUAUAUCAUCUUGCCUUAUGAAGAGUUGAUUAUCACCACCCAGUGGUGCUUACAUACUGAUAGAAUUCAUGAUUAUAUGUAUCCAAAGUAGUACCAAGAGUACCAUACAAAAGAACUGACUAUAUUCUAUGUAAGUAGCUACUUAAUUGUAGUCAGUAUCAUAAAAUAUUGACGAGUUCUCAUUCUCUUAAAAAUUGGAGCUUUUUGGUCAAGCAAACUGCUUUUCCUUGGACAAAAUUUAUUGCAGUAAGUUGCUGAACUGAAAGUUUAAUUUAAGUUGUAAAAUUGAAAAGCUCUUGUAAUUGAAAAUGAAAAAUAUGGAGUAGUCUGAAUGCACGAAUGAGGAGUAAAUUACAGAUAAAAGGACUGACUAGAGAGGAACCCAUACGGAUAGUUGGAUGUUUACAAAUUACGUUUUAAUGUAAGAUGUAAUUAUAACUUUAUUUUUCAUCUUGAUUCGUUUUCAUUAUUUUCAUGCAAACACAGUGGCAGUUACACAGGAAAGCCAAAUACAGUCUGUAGAAAUUACUUCGGCCAAGUUUAAACAAAGUAUACUGAAAAAUGGUCUCAUAUUUUCACCUGGGAAAACCUUCUAUUUAGCAUUUAUAGCUCUCUACUGAAGGGAAGGAGUACCAGUAAUUCAUACUGCCAGUCUAUCAAAAUCCUGAGCUUUCUCUAUAAAUUGAAAAUACCAAGUUUUUUCGCACAGUUUAUAAAUAUAUUAGACUGCCUAUACAUCUUUUAUGAUUUAUCCAUUCACUUCUCACUGGUAUAAAGCUAAAACAAACUGACUUUUAAUUGUAGCCUUGAAACUCAGAAAUGAAAAGUAUAAAAAUAGGUGGAACUAAUCAUCUAUUGCAGAAAACUGAGGGCAGUUCUAAAGUUCAAGAAGUUUUUUUAAAAAAUAAAAUGAAUGUAGUCUUUAUGAGAAAUGUCAAUUUUAUUCUGGGCAACUGCAGUCAAAACAUGAGGGUUUUAGCUGGAGCAGUUAAGAACCAUAUGCUCAGAAAACUAAAAGAAGGAAAUAAUAGUUUUGGAAAAAGGUUAACAUCUUGACAUUAAAUUAUGGACUUUAAUAAAAAUUAUGAUAUGUUUUUAUAUGAUCAGGUAUAACUGACUGCUAUGGCAGGUAAUAAAACAGAAAUGAAAAGACUCAUUUCAUCUGUCAGUCUCUGGUUGCAGUAGAGCUCUGCAGGAAACCUAAAUGUGUGGGUCUUUGAACUGACCUAAAUAGCUGUGCGAAAUAAACCUGCUUUGCUUUCAAGCCUCAGUGCUGGAGAUAAAAGUAUCAUAUUCACUCUGGCUUGUUUUGUUCAAUAGUAUAGAAAACUUUAGUCCCAGUUUCAAACAAUAGCUCCUGCCUUUUAUAACCUGUUCUGCAGGUUUUUAAUUGAAUAUUUUUUAUUCAUGAAACUAAUUACACAUAUGUAUGCUUCUAUAAUUGCAGUGUGGUCCUUAAACUGUA